AUGGACAUCGAUGGUGUGAUUCCAUGUUCCAUAGAGAAGUGGAUAAGUCUCGUUGAACAAUUUACCACCGCUCAGCGAUUUAGGAAUAAAUCCGCCGACGAUGAAUUUCUUCGGACGGCUGUUCUUGUUUUGCUGGGGACCAUUAUUGCGCCCAUGUCGGUUGUCUCCAUACCAAAUGAGUACUACGCGUUGGUGCAUGACGUGAAGCGGAUAAGCACGUUGAAUUUUAAGGUGUUCACUUUGCGAACUUGUUUGACGGAGAUUGGUAAACUCAAGCAGGACGGCCGUUACUUAUAUUGGGAGAAGGUGCAGCCAACCACCGGCCCGAAAAAUGACCCGUUGUCGUUGCAAGUUCCCCUAAUGAAAAAUUGGACUGAAUCUAAAGCGGAGAAACGAGACAAGUACGACCUGGAAAAUAGUCAUGGCCAUGGAUUGAGAUUGUUAGAGAAAAUGAAUAAAACAGGUGUACGGUACAAACCGGGCACAAUGGCAGAGGAGGAAGAAAAUCUGUAUGGACAGAAUAGUGAGUCCAGUACUGGUCACUUGAGUAGCUUUAAAGGUGAGAAGGAGGAUCCUAUAGAUGUCCCGGAGCAGUCAGAAAAAAAAGAAGCAUCAUCUCUAAAAACCGAUGAAAUAGAAGCUACAAGAUGGCAAGUACAACAAAAUGAGCAAGAAGUGUCACAGGCCGUAUCGGAUGAACCGUUUAAUGAAACAACCCCUCAAUUUGACCAUUCUGUGGAUCAUAUGGUGCGUGCCGCUGUGCAGUACGUGAAAGCGUACGAGCACUCACCAAAACAUAAUGUGGUAAAGAUGAUGGACUUUCUGUGGCAAGAGUUUGCCAGAUACUUAACCAUGCAUGGAUAUCCGGUAAUUGACGCUUAUGCGACGUACAUAUCGGAUUCAAGUAUCAUCAAAGAUAGGAACUCAUGUGGACUGUUCGUCCUUCGCUGUUUUCAAUACUGGGACGGAGAAAAAUUCAUUACUGCUAUUUCUCAUAUGGGUACAUUUUUAGAAUAUAUUGAUAGUUCGAGAGAAAGAAUGAUAGCUGGAAUUAUUAUGUCCCCUGAAAAUAAGCUUACAGAAGUGAAGAACAAAACAAUAUCUGACAGGCGAGCGCCACGCGCGCCGGGCGAGGCGAGCGUCGCCCGAGCCGCACGUUCGUCGCUACAUGGCGCACGUGGCCCGCGUCAUCUGGCCAGCAGGCCCGCGCCGCGCGUCGCCCCAGGGUUGGCCGUUGCUGGCCCCGAAGUUGAUUCUGCAUCGGCCCUUGUCGCCCCUCUGCGCCCGAGGGCGGCGUCAGCCUCGGGAUCGCCCUUCGCGGCUGGAUCGUCCUCGUACGUGCGCCCCGAAUCCUCCUCGUACUGCCGGAGAUGGCGGCGGCGGCGGCGGCGCGAGAGGAGGCGGGUGAGGCGUCUUGAGGAUAGGGUUCGCCUAUCGUUUUUUAAUCACUCCGGCGUACGCUGCGGGCGCGGGCGGGCGUGCAUGCGGACGUGGGCGCGUAUGGGCGGACGUGGGCGCGUACGGGCGGCCAUACGGGACAGCGCCGUACGGCGACGCAUGCGCGCCUACGGCGGGCGGUUAGGUGGUGAUGCUUCUGCUAGGCGACGUAGGGAGGAGUUGGGCAAGCGGCCCGUUGAUUCUACACUUGGUGGCCCUUUUUGUGCGGCGGAGUCGUGUGGACGUGAUUCGGUUGCUGCUACUGGCUGUUUGUCUGAUAUAGAGUCUGUGCUUGGUUGCAUGGGUCAUGCACAUUGGUUUGUGUGCAUGCGUCAACAUGUGUUUGGUGUUGUUAGUUGCACCCUGUUGGGUACCCGCGUGUUUGCAUGCAUGGCGCAUGCACGUGCGCCCGGUGCCGAUGGGUGUGGUGUACCCGUGCGCCUGCUUGCAUGGCGCAUGCGCGUGGGCAUGGUGCUGAUAGGUGCACCCGGUUGUGUACCCGUCAGUUUACGUGCAUGGCGCAUGCAUCUGUGUGGGCUGUCGUUGAUCGUGUAUGCUUUUGAUUCGCUGCGGUUUACUGCUAUUUUUGAGGGGUCAAACAUGCAGUUCGUCAGGCCAAUAAAAUUUGUUGUUUGCAUCUUGAUCCUGUGUUUGGCUUUCGAGUACUUUGGUUCACCUGAGCAUGGUACAUUGAUCAUACCUUACCACAUGCAGGACGAGGCUCCCUCGCAUGGUUCGCCGCCCGCCGCCGUCCCCAGCCGCCCUGCUCCGCUGUUGCCCCUCCCUCCGCCUGCCUCGCCCCUGAUCCCCCAAGCGAGCCACCGUCCUCCUCUCCAACCCCGGCCUCCACUCCACCGCGCACCGCCGGCGACGACUCCUCUCCCAGGCCACGGAUCCACCCGAGCAGCCGAGGCAGCGGUCAGAUCCGCCCGCCCUCCUUCACUCCAUAUUCACGCUGGAAACCCUAGCCACCCGACCAUGCCGAACGACCGCAGGCACGAGGAAUCUGCUGCUCCCCUCCUCCUCCAACGGUGGUAUGAUAGCAAUCCCGUACCCCCUCCUCCUCCUCCUCCUCCUCUCUCUCCGUCUGACCCCCGUCUUAUCUCAUCUGUACAGGUAGUCAGGAAGGAGGUACAGUACAGCCAAGGGAGGGUUCUCCUCUUGGAUGUCCAAUUUAGGCACAAUAGAGAAAAGUUUGUCCGCGUCGUGGUGAGGUGGAGAGCCAAAAUGCAUGAAGCUUAUGACAUGGGUGAAGGAGAUGAAAGCUCUAGGCAAGUAGGGAGUACCACAAGAUCUGACUCACCACCAUCUGAUCUAGGCACUGUCCGGCCGAGUCAGGUUAUUUUACAGUACCUAAGUGUUUAUACUGUUGCUGCAUCUGAAAUGGCAUGUUGUGGUGCUUCACGACGCUGUGAGAAGAUGAUCGAGGGUCAGCGGCACGGGUGCUUCGUCGUCAUCUUCAAUGAGUCCAAAUGCAACUCAAAAGAGAAUUCUGAAGCUGAUGAACUUGGAUGGCCUGACAGUCUACCAUACCAACCGACAUCUCCAUGUAAAUGGUGGCGGCUAGGUGAGCGGGCAGAGUUGAGGGAGGGCGGCCAGCUGCCUGGCGGGUGCGCCGGCGAGCACAACGUGAAAGAGCCUGACAGCCUGUCCACUACCAGCUUAGUUGCUGACUCUUUGAUUGUCGUGCUGCCCCGUGCAAUGGCCAGCUGGUGA
rnacentral:rRNA from 1 species